rnacentral:rRNA from 1 species
UACGUAGGGGGCUAGCGUUGUCCGGAAUCAUUGGGCGUAAAGCGCGUGUAGGCGGUCCGGUAAGUCCGCUGUGAAAGUCGGGGGCUCAACCCUCAGGUGCCGGUGGAUACUGUCGGGCUUGAGUACGGAAGAGGCGAGUGGAAUUCCUGGUGUAGCGGUGAAAUGCGCAGAUAUCAGGAGGAACACCAAUUGCGAAGGCAGCUCGCUGGGACGUUACUGACGCUGAGACGCGAAAGCGUGGGGAGCAAACAGG